UUGUAUGGAAAACAAGCAUGGUACUGUGAAAAAAAUCCUUCUCUCACCCUACAGAUACCUGUGCCGAGAGCUUGGGAGGCAUUUCCGUAGGUUCACUGUCAAGUGACUGUUACAGUCCCCCUUCACUGAGAAGCAAAGCUAAAGUAUUGAAGGAGAAAUACACCUUGGUCUAGGCUUAACAUGGAUGUCACUUGCCUGUUUCUAGUCUGACUUGAGGAGGGGAUGCGGUGAAAGCAAAAGAUAACCAGACUACAACCCACAGCUCCGGAGAAGCUAGCUAGCAAGGAGGACCUUAAGAAGGACACAUGGAUCACCUUUCCCAAUAUUGAGAGAAAUUUGUCUCAGUUGACUGAUUUGCCACAUUAUUGAUUACUCCAAUUUUUGAUAAUGAAUUAUCUCAGGGAGUCUAUUCACCUAAAGGCAAGAGCUGUCAAUAUAGUUUUAUUAAAGUGUGUCCACCUUUGUUUGUCUUUGCAAUAUUUAAAAUAGAAAUUUGUCCAUAGUGUUAUAUUCAGAUUUCUCCCCCUGAGUUAAGACCACUUUGACAGAGGUUUCAUGUUUGUCUCUUUCCUUCUACUUUCUCCUGCCCACAGGCAGCAGUGUUUUUAAGUAUCUAAAUUCCUAGUUUUCAGCAACUAGUGCUCAUGAUUUGGGUAAAAGUUGACAAAACAUGCUCAGGUGAUUAGUUUUGCCUUUACUGUAGGGCUGGGAAGAAACCAGGGCAUCACAAUUGCCAUGCAAGAUUCCACUGGGCUGCAGCCAGAGCCACAGCCCUUUCCUUUUAUCUAGUCUGACUUUUUUUCUUAGACUGUUACAUUAUUUCAUGUAAAUUGACAAAUAGAGAUGAAUAAAACAAGAGUGUGCUGAAAGGAGGGGUAAUCAAGUCAUCUACAAAGUGACCAGUGGGUGAUUAUUUUGGAGACUCCGUUUCUUUUCUGCCUUUCCUUCAUUUUAGAUAAUGAGCUGUUGAGGAGUGGACUUGUGUUUUUCCUGUUCAUCAAACCAAGCAGUGAAUACAAAGACAUAAAAAACAGAUUUUUGAAGUUUGAAUGCCCAUCUGUCUUAGUUGGCAUAGUCAAUAAAUAUCUGCCAGAUGCUGUACUAAUCCUCUUUUUAGCUUUUCUGACAGUUUCAGUUACUUGGACAAGAACCAUGGAACAAAUGAAGUAAGGGGUACAUCUAAGAAGAUGCAAGCAAGGAUAUGUCCAAGACAAGCAACUUUAAAGAGAGGGCAUAUAAAACCCAGAAAAAACAUUGCCUCCAAUAGACAUCUAAUUGUUAGAUGGAAGUAUUUCUGUCUAGCCCUAAUUGUCUAAAUAUUUUAUAUAGUACUUUUUAUGUUGUAGAUAUUAAAGGUUGGAAUUAAUGCUCUGGUCAUGCAAAGUCAUAUAUUUUUUGAGGUUACAGUAUAAUUACAUCAUUUAUCUUUUCCUUUAUCUCUUCCCUUUCCUCCCUCAGACCUCUCAUAUACUCCUCCUGCUGCUUUUCAAAUUUAUGGUUUUUCAUUUAUUAAUUGUUAUUAUAUAUAUAUGCAUAUAUGUAUGUAUGUAAUUUGUUCAGUCUGUAUAAUUUUACAUGCAUAUAUGUUCUCAAGUCUGACUAUUGGGCAUGCAUGACCAAUUGGUAUGUUCUUCCAUGAAGAAUGCUAUCUCUUCCACUCUCAGCAUUCCUUAGCUGACUUUAGUUAUUUAUGUAAGGUUGAGGUCUCCUGGGCCUUCCCCAUUCACUUUGGGAUAUCUAUUGGUGUUCUUAUUCAGCUUAUGUUAGACAGUCAUGUUGCUGAGACUUUGUGAGUGUAUUUUCUGAAAUAACCAGGAGACACAAUCUCACAACAAACUCCAUGAUCUUAUGGCUCUUAUAAUCUUUCUGUCCCCUUUUCUACAGUAUUCUCUGAGCCCAUCAUGUGAGAAGACUUUGUGUAUACAGAUACACACACACACACACACACACAUUGAGAUUAGGCACCACAACUCUGUAUUUUGACAACUUGUCUACAAAAUAUUAUGCAGGUAAUUGUGUGUAUAAAUACACAUAUAUAAUUUCAAUAAACUUUUCUCAUCUGACUGGCAAUACUCUCAACAAGAGCCAAAGACUAUUUAACAAAAUCUCCCAAAACAGACACAAGAAGCCCUCUUUUGAGUUGAUGCUCAGGGGCUGCCCUAGAGACUCUAAAAACUUAUAGCCCAUUGCAAUUGUGCUUGCUUUCCCCCAAGAAGUGGAAAUCCCUAUUGCUGAAGGCAUCAUGCACUUCAGAAACAGGGCUAAAUACUAUUGAACUGGGACUGACAUGAACACUUCCUCCUUGUGGACUAACUUUCAUGACACCAGAAGGUAUCAUGCCAGCUUCUAAAUGAGGGAAGUAAACGCCAGUCCUACUGAGCCAUGACACCAAUGAACCACAAUGACCAACAUGGCAAAAAUGAUUCUAAGAGUGCAGCAGUGAUACACAUACCUUGGGGGUAACGAACAGCUCUCUAUUUAAACCUAAGACCUGCUCAACAAGAAGAAAGUCAUGACUGGUACUAGAAACCUAGACAACUACUUAGUGCUAGUGCAAUCAUCUUAGAGUAGAGCCUCCAACCACCACUUUACUAAACCAUCAUAAUCCCUAACAACAAUCUAAAUAUUUGUCCUUAUGCCCAAAGAUAGGUUUAGUACUCACUCCUCAUCAAAGAAACUUCUCUUUCAAUCAGACAGAGAUCAUUACAUCAAAGUCAAAUUUUUAUCAAAGCAUAAUUAUACUUAAAUAUCAAACUUGUCACUGGUGUCCAAGAGUAACAAUAUGAUUCAUAACUUAAAGCCCUACUUAUCAUGCUAAAUCCCAAUCACUGGGUCUCUAUUUUAUAAACUUGCAAUUGUUGGGUUCAGAAGCAUUUUGACUUCUUCCCUAGCUUUGUAAAAGAACAUCUUUAGGAUCAACAAGUGGUCUCUAUCUUAACAUAAAAGGAGUGGGGGACAAGUGUUGAUCUACCUCUUCAUCUCUUAGAUUUCUUUAGGGGAACUGCAAUUUUGUUCUUCCUGUUACCAUUUGUGUUUGCCUUCUUGUAUGUUCUGAGAGCAGGGGUAUGGUAGCACAUGUCGGUGUGGUGAUAUUUUAUUUGUGCUCUAAUAAAUAAAGCUUGCACAGAGAUCAGAGGAAAAAGCCAGUCACUAUAUUAAACAUAGUGGACAAGCAGUGGUAGUGCACACCCUUAAUCCCAGCAUUCAGGAGGCAGAGAUUCAUCUUGAUCUCUGUGAGUUCAAGGCUACACUGGGAACAGAGCCAGGUAUGGUGGCACAAGCCUUUAAUUCCCAGCACUUCUUAACCAUAGAGGUCUAGAGGUUUGUGUUCUUGUAUCACAGGAAGUGAUAGAGCUGGAUAGUAAGAGGAAGUGUUGUAGCUGGGCAGAGAGAGGAAGUGAGAUGGCAAGGACAGAAAGGAUAUAGGCAUGAGUAUACAGGAAGUAGCCCUCUGUGACGGCUGAGAAGUUGGUGAGUUGAGGUUGGCUAUGGUUUGUCCUAUUCCUCUGAUCUUUCAGUUUUCACCCCAAUAUCUGGCUCCAGGUUUUUUCUUAGUAAGACCUUUUAAGAUUCGUCUUACAUGCUGGCAAAAAAAGUAGCUUCACUUCUUUGAGAGCAUGCUUCAGAAGCUAGCAAGUACUUACCUUUUGAUUUCACCAAGAAUAAUCAUUAUUUCAAAGUUCCUCUGUUAUACAAAUAAUGGUAUAUAUUUGUGUCUUAAUUAGGGUUUCUAUUUCUGUGAAGAGACACCAUGACCAAAGUAACUCCUAUAAAGGAAAAUAUUUAAUUGGGGUGAUUCACUUACAAUUCAGAGGUUCCGUCCAUUAUCGUCAUGACAGGGAGCAUGGGGUCAUGCAGGAAGACGUGGUGCUGGAGAUAUAGGUAGGGGUCUACAUGUAGGCCACAGGAAGUUGACUGAGAAACUAGGAAACCUCAAAGCUCACCCCCACAGUAACAAACUUCCUCCAACAAAGCCACAUCUCCUAAUAGUUCCACUCUCUAUGAGAUUAUGAGGGCCAGUUACAUUGAAACUGCUACAUUCUACUCCCUGGCCCCUAAAGUUUGUAACAAUGUCAUAAUUCAAGAUUCAUUUAGUCCAACUUUAAAAGUCCCCAUAGUCUAUCACAGUCUCAACAAUGAUUUAAAGUCCAAAACUUCAAGUCUCUUCUGAGAUUCAUGCAAUCUCUUAACAUAAUCACCUGUAAAAAUGAAAACCAAAAAGCAGAUCACAUAUUUCCAACAUGUAAUGGCACAGGAUUAUAUAUUACCAUUCCAAAACACAGGGAAGGGAUCAUAGUGAGGAAAUACUGGACCAAGGCAAGACCGAAAACUGCUGGGUAAACUGCAAACUUUGCAUCUCCAUGUCUGAUGCCAAAAUGCUCUUCAGAUCUCCAACUCUGUUCAGCUUUGUUAACUGCAACACACUUCUUUCUCUCAGGCUAGUUCUACUAUCUGUUAACAGCUUUCCUUGGCAGGUAUCCCAUGAGUCUGGCAUCUCUAACACCUUGGGUUCUCCAAGGCAAUCCAGAAUCAAAUUCUCAGCUUCAUGCAAUGGCCCGUCUACUGGGCCUCCAUUCAGGGACACCACUGACACAUGCCUGGCCUCAGUGGCUUUCUAUAGGCAUGGAGGCAAAUUCUAUUAUCUAUUUCUUUUAUCCUUAACUCUAAAGCCAGAAUCAUGUGCACAAUGCUGGCAAGUUCUGCUGCUUACUGUGGCUGGAACAUGGCCCCCUCUUUCAAUUACAUCUUUACCAGCUUUCUGUCUUUCACUGCCUAAGCUUGGCUGUCCUGAAAUUUUCUCUGUAGACCAGGCUGGCCUCAAACUCAGAGAUCCACCUGCCACUGCCUUCUGAGUUCUAAGAUUAAAGGUGUGCCCCCCACACCCAGAUCUAAGCUUUUCUUUAAUUCCUUUUCACAAGUUGGAAAAUUAGCUGGGUAGUAUCUUGCCUUGAGGUCAGCACUCCCUACAUUCCAUUCUUUAAUCUUUUUAUCUCACCAGCUUUGUCCAGCUGGUUUAACACAGGAUUUAACUCCUUUCCACUUCCUGGUGUUCUUUUUCUCCUCAAUAUUUACUUUUUGUAAUUUACCUUGCUCACCUUGCUCCUUUUCAUUAUAAAUAUUUAUAAGCAUUAACACUAGUAGCCACAUGACAGAGUCUAUACUAGGCUGCUUUGAGAUUUUCUCUGCCAAUGGAAUAAAUCAUAAAUUCUUUACUUUAACUCCAGGCAAAUUGUUUGGGUAAGGGCAAAAGGCAGCCACUUUCUUCACCAAGAUAUCACAAGAAUGAUCUCUAGGCAACAUAUUAAAAUUCUACUCCUCUGAAACCUCUUGAAUGAGCCCCAGUUUGGUUCAAAUAAACCUUAGCACCUCUGUCUUCCAUGAUUCUAUUAGUAUGGCCCAUUAAGCACUGUUUAAAGCAUCUUACUACUUUCCUAAACCAAAGUACCGAAGUCUAAAUUCCUCCAAACAAAAGUAUGGUCAGACCUAUCACAGCAAUACUGCAUUCCUGGUACCAACUUCUGUCUUAGGUAGGGUUUCUAUUACUGUGGAAAGACACUAUGAACACAGCAACUCUUAUAAAGAAAAUAUUUAAUUGGGGUGGCUCAAAUACAGUUCAGAGGUUCAGUCCAUUAACAUCAUGACAGGGAGCAGGGUACCAUGUAGGCAGAUGUGCUAGAGAAAUAGCUGAGAGUCUUACAUCUUGUAGGCAAUAGGAAAUCAACUUGAGAGGACCAAGCAGAUACCAUAACAGGCCACUCAGUCUUCUCUUAGAGAUAUCAGGCCUCAAUUUCAGUUUCCUGAAGCUAGACAAACAGUUUCUAAAAUUUCCAAGGACAAAGGAUAAUCAAUCUCCAAUACCCCCAAUAGCAAGAAUGAGGAAAUCUGGUACACGCAGGCCAGAUCUGAGCCAUAGUCAGCAGAUAACCAAAUAAAGACAAAGCCUGGGACUUGUCCAGGCCUACCCCAAAAUGGAAAACUGUACUCUGACUAUCCUCUAAGUAUCCUUGGCCAAUUAGAUCGUACUCAUAUGAUUGCCACUUGAAUAAGCCAAUCACAUCUAAAAUGACCUAACUGCUGUAGGACCUCCCUUUGGCUGUGCUUCAAAGGAGCUCACACAUCCUUCUCGGGGUCUUCACCAUUUUGCCUUUGAGUGGAAUGACCAGCCCCAGUACGCUGGGAUAAUGAAUACACUUGUUGAUUGCAUACAUGGAUGGUGGUCCUUUGUGGGACUUCUCUAGGACCCUAACAAACUGAGACAGUAGGCUGUAUCCUGAGCAUAGGAAACCUGUAAGCCCUACCCCAGAGUGACACAGUUUCUCCAAACAAGGCCAUACUUACUCCAACAAAGCCAUACCUCCUAGUAGUGCCACUUCCUAUGAGAUAAUGGGGGCCAAUUCAAACUACCAUGAUUUGUGAUAAUAAUAGUUAAAUUUAGCAAAACUUUGCCCAAUUUUAUGCAUUCCAAUGGCAAAAAAAAAACAAGGCUCAAACAAGGAUAACUUACAUAAGUAACAGGCUUUUCAAAGUAGCCUAUCUAAUAGAAAUAUCAGGCAAACCUGGGGUCAUUUCAAAAUCUCUAGCAGCUGUAUUGUAAAAAAGUAAAAGCAACAAGAAAAAACAAUGAAACUUUUUAGUAAAAUACCUUAUUUAGACAUAAGUCCAAAUACAACUUCAACAUGUUAUCAAUAUUCAUACUAUCAAUGAGGUAGAUUUAUUUCUUUUCUCAUUUCAUUGUAUUUUUACAUAUAAGACUCUUUGAUUAAUAAUAGGAUAUUGAAGUACUAUUUGACCUGCAUAUAUAUUUCUUAUACUGUAUGGUUAUAAAUAAAAAUGUCUGUAAGUAGGUUGUAUAAACAAAUUAUCUUUUCCAAGUGCAGAAUAUCAUAUCUAUUUUUAGAUUUCAGUUGAAAAUUAGGAAUUAAGUCCUGGUGACAUCAGCCCACAUGUUAAGCACAGAAGCCACAUGUGGGUUGUGGCUUGCGGCAAGUGCGAAGUCCUAUAUUUGAGGAAUGGCAAUUAGAUUAUGGCUACUGGACAGUUCAGGAUGGCUAUUAUAUAGUUCAGGUCUUUGGGUUGGUGAUUAAAUGUGUCCAAACUUCCAGGACAUCUCAGGAAUUAAAUCACGAUAGCAUCAACUGACUUCAUUCAAUGUGGGUACUAUAAAUAUGUGACUCAUUCAGCUUUUCUAUGGAUUGAAGAUUUAUUACCUUUUGUAUUAGUUACUUUUAAGUUUCCAUGAUAAAGGUAACUUAUAGAAGGAAGGAUUUAUUUGAGUUUUCAGUUUUAGAGUGAUAUCUUGGUGGAGAGACACUGCAGUAUUUUCAGGUAUGAUGGCAGAAGCGGAACACUGAGAGCUCACAUCUUCUAACACAAGCUCACAGCAGAGAGAGCAAACAGGAAGUAGACAAGGGUUUUUAUUCUCAAAUAUCACCCCAAGUAACAUACCUCCUCCAGCAAACUGGCACAUCCUAAAUAUCCUCAAGCAGUGUCACCAACUAGGAUCAAGUGUUCAAAUAACUGAGCCUAUGGGAGAACAUUCUCAUUCAAACCACAGUAGUUUAGACCUGGAUAGACUUUUCUUCUCCUCCCAACUCAGUGGUAUUUUAACUACUUCUGGUGUCAUUUUAACAAUCCGAGUAGAUUUUUCUUAAAUGUUACCUGUUAUAUCAGUCAUAUGCUACUAUUGCACAGCUUUCAAUAGACUCACUCCCAACCGACAAUACUAUUUAAAGUGGUGUCACAAGUAUCCAAUCCUUUCUGCUCUUUCACAAUUCUGACCCUAAGCCUUUCACUACAAUGAACAAGACCCUUGUCUUCUCAAUAUAGUGAAGAGCAUAGAAUCUAAAAUCACUGAUGUACAUUUAUGUUUGGAGACUUGGCAUCUUUGUCCCUAAGAUAUCUUAUGUGAUUCUAUAAUGUAUUAAUAUUACCAAAAUUUAAUGUUCACUCAGUACACACUGUUGCUUAGAAUCCAGCCUUUUGAUAAAUAAUAAUUUUUGAAAGUUUUUCCUUGUAAUAGUUUUAACUAUAAUUUGAAAUUUGACUGUCAAUAUUUUUCUUCAACAGAGGCAAAAAGAUCACUUCCUUCAAAGCUGCUUGGGGAUUUCUCCUGGCAUCUGAAUAGGAUUUUUGUAGUGUCCUAGUUUGGUUUCUAUUGCUGUGAUAAAGGCCAUGACCAAGAGUUGGUUGAGGAAGAAAAGGUUUGCUUAGCUUAUACUUCUCCAUCACAAUUCAUCAAUUAGGGACGUCAGGCAGGAACUCAAGGCAGGAGUCUGGAGUCAAGAACUGAAACAGAGAUCAUGGAGGAAUACUGCUUACUGGCUUGCUCCCCAUGAAACUCUCAGUCUUCUUUCUGAUACAACCCAGGACAAUCCACCCAGGAAUGGCACUACCCUCAUGGCCUGUGCUCUACCCCAUCAAUCAUUAAUCAAAACAAUACCCAAAAGAUCCGCCUAUAGGCCAAUCUGUUGAGAUUCCCUCUUGACAGACAAGUGUAGAUUUGUGCCUAUUUGGCAAAAACUAACCAUCACAGGCUGAUGGUAUGUUUUACCAGUUAGUAUAAAACAGAUAAUUAAAGGAGUCUGACGAUGUGUCAGUUCAGAUUUCUUGUUUAAAGUGUUUUGUUUGUUUCCAUCUAUGAUUUUUUUCUUCCUAUUUUGUAAUCAGUUGGACUAUUCCCUUGAGGGCCUAUUCAUACCUAUAUUUAGAAAUUGAAGAAGCAAACGUUAAAAAAUACAAAUCACUGUUGGUUCUUAUGCUGUAUGGUCUUUGGAAAUCAAACAUUGAAAAAUACUGGACCAGUUUCAGGUUUUCUAUAGACAUUUUGACUCAAACCUGACAUAGUAUUGUAUCUAUAUUAAGACAGCACGGGACUUCUGCUUUCUAUUUAAAAAUUCCUACCUGCCCAUAUGUUUUAAAAUUGAAACAUUUAAAAGGUAACAUUUCUAAAGUUAUUUUAGGAAGACGUUCAUUUCAUUUGUAAAUAAUGUUGAAAUAAAUCAUAUUGCAUUUGCAACUUUAGUUGUUUCCAUAAUUCUAAUGCAAUUCCAUUUAGCAUGAUUUACAUAGUUACUUAUAAUAUGUAUAUCCUUAUUUAAAUCUCAUUAUGUUUUUAAUUGUUUGUAUUUGUCAAAUGCACAGUUUUUCUGCAUAUGUUAAAACUGCAAUUUUUGCCAAGUGAAAGGCAAAUAAAGAGAAUGAAAUAUAUUAAUUACAAAGAGAGAAUUAAUAUGCAUGUCUGCACAAUAUAUAAUUAUCUAUGGACUUACAACCCUUCAUUGAACAGUCUGCUUUAUAUUUUAAUAGAUUCUCUUUUCUACCUUUUGAGAAAAGGAUUUUCCAUAAUGAAAAUUAAAAUCCUGAGAGAUAAGAUUCAGGACUGUAGCACUCAUAAUAUAUUAAAAAAACAUCACUCUUGUAUUCCACCCAGUCUUUCUUCCCCUCUCCUAUAAGUUGUGAUAGAAAAAUAUAAAAUGACUGAUUGCAACUAAUCACCUUACAUCUUUGCCAAGCUCAAAGCCUGCCUCCACAGCUGCCUAUCUUAUUUAUUUGCUUACUUUAAAUCACUGGCAGCAUUUCUUCCUCAUAAGAUAAUCUUUCUUCUAAUAACCUGGAUCUUGAACAUACCUGAGGAGACGUGACAACCUCUUUCAUAUCUUGCCCUAGUUUAUUGUUUGUUGUUUCUACUGUCUGAAACAUUGUUCUACUUUUACUUUUUGAAAGUCUGUCCCUUUUUACUACUACUUAUGUUUCAAUUUACUAUCUCAGAUGUUUUCUCUACAAACCCCACUUAAUUGUAUGUUAAAGUUUCGCUCCAUUCCUUGCUCCAACCCCGUUUAUCUUUCUCUAUCACAGAAUUCAGUUUCCCCCUUCAUAGUCAUGCAGCAGAAUUUGUUUGUUAAUUAUUUAUCACAUUAUCCAGAAGAUAGGCUUUAAAGACACAGAAACCACAUCAACUUUUUUUUACCUUCUUUCUCUAGCUCUUGACACAAGCCAUGGUCAAGGGUAAUUUCUUAAUAAGUAUUUAUUGAUCACAAAUGAUUUCUUUCAGCUUUAGGUAUUUUGAUGUGCUACAGCCUAGUAAUUUUCCUUUGUAAGAAUACGUAAGUACUUCUAGUUAUUUUCUAUUGCAAACAACACUUCAUAAGAUAUUUUCUAUGACUGUAUCUGUGUAUUUGUGCUAUACUCACUGAAAGAACAGCUAGUUGGUGUGGGGUAGAUGCAUCAUGCCAUUAGAUAUUGCAUUUUGUACAUGACUAAAUUGGGUAUCAGACUCUGAGCAUUGAUUAUGUCGAUUCAGUAUAAGGAAAACAUCUCUAUUUUUCCCUGGUCUAAUCUUCUUCUUAGGGCUAUGUCUUCACAGGGCUGUUGGAUUUUUUCCAGGCCUAUGUAAGGACAAAUCACCCACCAGAGAAAUUCAUUCCAUGGGAAAAAUCAGUCCAUCUAUAGUAUCUGAGGUCCUCGGGACCACACCAUGGAGUAAGAUCCAGGUCUCUAGGAGGUCCACUGGCAGGAUGGCCAAAGGACAUACUCGGUAGAACAUUAGUGAAAAACAAGCUGUGAUUAUUAACAUUAAAAUAUGACUGAAACCCAAAUAUACAUAGAACAACAAGAAGUUUUCUCUUAAGUAGCAAUGGUGUCCCUUCAUCCCACUUUGAAAGUAAACCUGGAGAGAGGCCUAGACAAUAAGCUGGCUUAAAUAUCAUCACAAAUCCAAAGACUCAUUCAUUGGUCAUUUCUAUAAUUCUGAGUGUCCUGAUUAAUUUUAUGUCAACUUGCCUCAAGCUAGAGUCAUCAGAUAGGAGAAAACAUUGAUAGAGAAAAUGCAUUUAUAAGAUCAUGCUGUGGUCAAGCCUGUGGGGAAAUUUCUUACUUAGUGAUGAUAUAACAGUGCUCAACCCAUAGUGGGUGAGACAACCUCUAGGCUGGUGGUUCUAGCUUAUAUAAGGAAGCAAACUGAGCAAGUCCUGUUGAGCAAGCAGUACUCCUCCAUAGACUCUGCAUCAGCUCCUGCCUCCAGGUUCCUGCCCUGUUUGGGUUCCUGCCUUGACUUCCUUCAGUGAUACAUUGUGAUGUGGAAGUGUAAGUCAAAUAAACCCAUCCCUCCCCAUCUUGCUUUUGGUCAUGGUGUUUCAUCACAGCAAUAGAAGCCCUAACUAAGACACCGAGGUGGUAAGUGAUGCUUUUGGCAGGUGGAACAAUGAGUCUAUACCAUGUUGAAUAGAGGCUGUCAUUCUGCCAGUUGGGGAGAAAUUAUUGCCACUAUUUAGGACCAGAGAAGUGCAGUGAUGAUUGUUCUUAACAAACUUCUGGUUACUUUUAUAGUUUUCUCCCAGGGAAACCUCAUCCUGAAGAAUGGUUAUAGACUACUGCAUAGUUAGCCAAGUGUUGAUCUACAUCCUGACUGUUAUGGCUUAAAUUGUAUCAUUGCUAGAGCAUACUGCUGAGGCAUAUAGCCAGUGAUUUGUCAAAAUGCAUUCAUCUCCAUUCCACUUGGAAAAGCAAAUUAAAAAUAGCUUAUAUUUUAAAAAGCUUAUAUUAGGGAGAAAUUCUACAUGAAACAUUAACAUCACACCCUCUCAUCUUAAGGCUCAGGAAUCAUUGGAGACAAGGGAGUGGAAAGAUUCUAAGAGCCAGAGGUUGCGGAGCAUUUCUGCAAAAGUGUUUUCUGAAUAGGACAUGGUGGUUACUUGAAAGAACAUGCAGGAACUGUGGCUGCAAGUAUAAGACCUUUCCAUGAUUAAGCUGGCUGCAUUUGGAGCAUGAAUGUGGGAGCAGCCCAACGAGUCCCAUCUAGAGGUGAGGAGAUUUUGACAGUUGAUAGGCACUAGGGAAGGGAGAGUCAGUUUUCUUGAGUGAAACAGCCACUGAUAAAUUACUCAUGUUUCUUCCGGUAGAUGGGUCUGCAGCCACACACAUACCAGAAGCACUGAAUGAACUCAGUGUUAAAAAAUGUAUUCAUGAAGUUGGGAUGGAGAAGUAUUACGGGUAGUGACAGGAGUUGGAAGGGAGGGAGUUGUGAGUGGGUUUGAUCAAAACAUGUUGUAUAUAUGUAUAUAAAAUUCUGAAACAAAAACAGCUUAUAUUUUGUGGGGAAAAUGAUAUUUUUAGCAUUUCUGAAUCUAGGAUAAGUUAACUGCUUCCUCUUUCCUAAUUUAAUCUAAAGAUAUCAGAACUUCAAGUGUCCCCCACACAAUGCCACAAAAAUCCAUUACAACAGUGACAUUAUUUUGAAUGUACAAGGUAAGCAAGGUGUGACCAGUGUGCUUGAAGUCCUUAGACAUCUGACCUCUUAGGUAAGGAGAUAAACAGAAUAAAAUUUUAAGGACCAGUAUCUCUUGUAAAAUUUAUGGUAGAAAUGUCCUGAGACAUCUCCUGCAAAGUAAAAAAGAAAUCAUAAAUCUUGAAUCCUUUAUAACAAACUAAGAAGUGACAGACAUAGUGGACUUUUUUCAGGGAUAAGGGAAUUCCAGAUACAGCAUAUUCCAUGUUUAGGACUACCAUCUUGUUGUAAUAGUAGACAAUAUGGAAAAUGCCCAAUAUGAUGUUAAGCAAGGGCCAGGAAAUAGCUCUGCAGAAUUUAUAGGCUGAUAUUUAACAGCCUGCCACUUCGGUUACAUAAUUUAACAGACUCUGUACUGUUUUUGGAGUUUUAUAGGUAGAAAAAGAAACAAGAUAGAGAUCACACCAGUCCUUAUUAAUUUUAUAGGUCACUAAAUAUUUUAACAAAACCAUGCUUUCUGUAGAGAUCAGACAGAUGCUACAUAGGUAGGUAGAAUAUGGUAGAUGCUUGAUAGAUAGAUGAUAGAUAGAUAGGUGGAUAGAUGGAUACAUAGAUGGAUAGAUGGAUGGAUGGAUAGACAGACAGACAGACAGAUUGAUAGAAAGAUAAGAUAGAUGGUAGAACAUUGCUUGAAAAUAGAUAGAAUAACCUAUCUCAGAGUAAACAUAUUAGGACAAGGAAUCUAGAAACAGGUACUAUAAGCUUGACUCUGUCAGAAUCUCCAAACUAAAGUCUUAGGUAUGCAACAUAUGCCCCUUGCACAGAAAGUGGUACAUUUGUACUAAGCCUGAGAACGGUCAUAUGUACAAGUAGAUGCAUCAGCAGGUAGCAUCACCCACGCCAUCCACUAUAAUUACAGAGUGUGCCUUCUUCUAUCCUUGCCUAUGUGAGGUCUCCAAAAACAGCUUAGUAUGCAAGCAAAACUUGAACUAGGUGCCUUGUAGGAGCUUAGCAGAUGGGAAGUGAAUAAGAGAUUUAUUUAAACUUUUGCUCUUAUGUAUAUACUUGAUUAUUAUCUCUAUUUUGUGACUGAAGAAACCAAUAUAAAAUGAAUUAAAUAAAACUGAUUUUCCCAUAAGUUAUGAAAGAAGGCCCUAAAGUGUUCUGCCUCGGAUGAUACUGUGCUUUUUCUGUCACUAUCUUGGGUUUUCAUGCUUUCCAUAGACUAUGUUCUUUAUUUUGGAAGGAGACUUGAGUUCAUUAUUAGAAAUUAAAUUGUAACAGCUUAUUAUUUCCCAUUUAAAACACUUAAGAUCCCUUGUUCCAUUUACUAACCUAAAAACGGGUAUACACAUAUGUUGAGUCAUUUUGUACAAUUACUUGCAAAAAAAUGGAUAGAGAUAGGGAGGGCAUGUGAAUUUAUGCAUGGUAAUGAAACCUUAAAAUAAAAUGUUUCCAUGCACAACUCCCAGUCUUGUUGGAUAACUUUACUUGAUUGAAAAUUACUUGAGAAAGAUGAAAUCAUAAAUUACCUUAAAUUUACUGAAAGCCUGUGAACCACCUAUAUUAAGUGUUAAGCUGAUGAAGCACCAACCUGAAUGGAAAGAUUUCAUUAGAAACAGCAUGGACUACAUUUUCUAAAAGGGGGCUGACAUAUAACAGUACCACUGGGUACAAUUCUGGAUAAUAUUGUGUAUUUAUAAUAUGGUGAUAAUUGUUUGCCUUACCAUUCACAGCUUCUGUUUGUUUUACUCCUAUCCAUGACUAUUUAUAGACACUAUUCAUACUUUUUAUACUAUUGUUAAUGUAUUUAUUUACUUAUUAUUUCAUUCAACAAUGAAGUUAUUAAAUCAGCCAUUAUAUAUUCAAAUUAUUCUUACACUCAUUACUGAUCAUAUGUGAAAAUAUUAUCAUUAAGUUAUGACAGUGUAGCAUUCGACAAAUGAAGAAAAUGAGCAAAUACAAGGUACGUGAUGUUGGGAUUAAUAUCAGGAAGUAUGAGUCUAAAAGGCAUGUGAUUUUUUAAAAUAAAAAUAUUAAAUUAUGUGUAUGUGUUUGUGGGGUGGCAUGUGCAUAUGUGAGUGUGGUUGCCUGCAGAGGCCAUGAGAGAAGGUAAUUACCCCCCAGAACUGGAGAUCUAGGCAGUUGAGUGGCGAACUGCCCAAUGUAGGUGCUGAGAAUGGAGCUCUGGUCCUCUGUAAGAGCAGUACUCACUAUUAAGCACUUAACCAUCCCUUUAGCCUCUGGAUUGCAUAUCUUUAACCAUUGUGUCUUUCCUCAUAAAUUCAUACUAUAAUGUCUCUCUCCACUUCUCUGACCUCAAACACAUCUGUAUUCCCAACAGGAAAGCUCAAAAGACAUCCUUUUCCAAACUCCUCCCAAAUCUGCCUUCCAUAUCAAACUAAACUGGUGCCCAUGCUUGGUUUUUGUUUUUGUUUUUGUUUUUAUUUUAAACCCAUUCAGUCCAAUUUGUGUGGCUAUAUACUCUUGGGUCUGUGAGCAUACUAGAGUUUGGUUGAACGACCAGGGGCAAUACCCUUAAAGAAAACUGAAUUUCCCUCUCCCAGCACCUAUCAAUUGCCAAUAAAUCUUCAGUCAGUGGUUAAGCUUCACCCAGUUUCCCUUUCCAUGGUGAAAUGUUGUCUGGUUUCAGCUUGCACUGCUCUUAUGCGUGCUAUCAAUACUACUGUGAGUGAAUAUGUGCAACUUCUCAGUUGGACAUGGAAACACUGUUUCCUUAUGUUCUCAGCUACCUCUGGCUCUUAAAAUCUUACAACAUCUCUUUCACAAUGGUCCCCGUGCCUUGGGAAGAUAAAGUUUUGAUACAGAUGUCCCAUUUCUAGCUGAGCAUCCUGCAGUUUCUUUUUCUCUGAACCCUUACUAGUUGUGGGUAUCUUUGUUAAACCAUCAUUUUGGUUAGUUUUUGUCCACAUGAAACAGAUCUAGAAAUAACUGGGAAGAGAGAAUCUUAGUUGAGGAACUGAUUCUGCAGGUUGUCCUGUGGGCAUGUUUGGGGGGCAUUUUCUUGAUUGAUGAGUGAUGUAGGAGGACCCACCCCACCAUGCACAGCACCACACCUGGGUUGUAUAAGAUGGCAUACUAAGAAAGCUAUGGGUAUCAAGACAGUAAGCAGAAUUUCUCUAUGGUCUAUGUUUAGUUCCUGACUGGGUUUCUCUUGAUAACUGAUUGAAAUCUGUAACUCAAACAAUUUUCUCCCAAAAGUUAUUUUUGGUCAGCCUUUUAUCAUAGCAACAAAAGAAAAGUGUGAUAGUUACCAUCUACUACAGGUAGAAACUUCUCUGGUGAGUGUUAGGAGGUACAUUAAUGAAUGGGUAUAAUAAGAAAUCAGGAUUCGAUUUUAUAUUAUGUCUUAUUAACAGAGUACAAGCAAUAGGUUGUCCCCUAAAGGCCUAUGGGCUGUCUGUCCAUAGGUAUUGGCCCCUGUAAUAUUGUCAGGUAUAGAUUUCAUGUUGUUAAGUGACUUUAAUCAGAGUGGUUAGUUACUUUUAUAAUGCCCAGCCACUAUAGCACCAAUAUCCCUGUCUCCCCAGGAUAGUUGUUAUUGUAGCUCAUAAAGUUGACAGCUGGGUAAAACUGAUAAUUAUGUUUCCCCUCUUGUAGUGUUCCUAGUGCCUUCUAUCUCUAUGAAAGCUAUCCAGUAGGGAGGAAGGUUCUGGAUCAGUAUCAGCCUUAUUUCUCAAUGUUCUAUGACUCAAGUAUGUGAUGUCUUCAGUAACAGGGUAUUACUGACAAGUUCUGGAGGGUAAACAGAAGCAUACAAUGAUUGAGGUCUGUGAGCCUUCACUGGUCAACAAUGGCAAAAGAAGUUAUCCAUUCCUGACACUGGACUAAACAUUUAUUGGUUAGCGUGUGGUGUCUAAUAGGUGUAUUGUCACCCUGUAUAGGAUAACUCCAUUUCAGUUCUUGUGUGUGUGUGUGUGUGUGUGUGUGUGUGUGUGUGUGUGUGUGUGUGUGUUUUAGGAAGCUUCUACAGUAGUAGGUUCUGAUAUGACUUUUUCAAACUGUCUCAGAGUUAGUUGUUUCUCCUCAUAGCGCCCCUCUUUAUUACCAUCUCCUACCUAAUUCAACCCUUCAUGUUCUCUUAUUGUCUUUUACCCUUUAUUACAGCUACAUUUUUGUUUUUAUGGAAAUUACUUAAAAAUACAGGAAACACUAUUUUAAAAUAUUUAUUUUGUCACAAAUUAUUUCUAAAGCAUCUGAUAGGUGUUGCGACUAAGCUAAUUGCUGUAGAAUAUGAUAUUCUAGAUAUGAUAAAAAUUAUCAAAAAUGUGUGAUUCAGUCAUGGCAAUACAAAUUAAGUGAAAUUGUGAACAAAUAAUUAACACACAGCAAGAUUAUUUUAAGUAAAGAUGUAAACAUGAUAUUGCUGGUUUAUAUUGGUAAGGAUCUCUUGUUAUGCAUAAAGGUUUAUGUUGUUAUAAAAUUAUCUGUACUUUUCAGAGAUGUGGAUAUUAUAUGUCUAAG